UACAGAGGGGGCAAGCGUUGUUCGGAAUUACUGGGCGUAAAGGGCGCGUAGGCGGCCUGCUAAGUCGAACGUGAAAUCCCUGGGCUCAACCCAGGAACUGCGUCCGAUACUGGUUGGCUUGAAUCCGGGAGAGGGAUGCGGAAUUCCAGGUGUAGCGGUGAAAUGCGUAGAUAUCCGGAGGAACACCGGUGGCGAAGGCGGCUUCCUGGACCGACACUGACGCUGAGGCGCGAAAGCUAGGGGAGCAAACGGG
rnacentral:rRNA from 1 species